ensembl:lncRNA
UAAAUAACAACUGACUGCUAAGCAAAAUCUAACAUUUUGUUGUAUGCAUUAAUUUGUAAUUUAAGUGUAUGUUAGACAUUACAACAAGGACACAUAGGAUUGAAGAAUUAAAAAGACCAAAGUUGGGCGAGGGAUUUAGCUCAGUGGUUCCAGUGCCUGCCUUGCAAGCGCAAGGUCCUGAGUUCAAUUCUUGGUACCAAAAAACCCCAAAACAAAACAAAACAAAAAAGACCAAAGCAGGAGGCAUUGUUGCAAAUUUGGUACGUAAAAUGGUGGCAGAUUUUAUCUGUAAAAUUAUACUAAGUAGACUGUGAUAAAAUAAGAAUGAUCAUGUAGUUGUAUAAAGAAAAUAAAAAGAAGUAAAGCUAAGGAGCAACAGGAUGUCUCAGAUAGGAUUAGUACAAAAAAUACUGCACUCAUGGUUCUUUGAAGUGUUCAUGUUGUAAGAUUAUUGGGUCACAAAAUUCAGAAAGAUGUGAGGUUGAGUCAUUCUUCUGGCCCUCAUACAAACAUACCCAUAUUUACAGCAGCACAGUUCAUAACAGCUAAAAUCAUGGAAGCAGACUAUAUGCCCAUUAACAGAUGAAUGGAUAAAGAAAAUUUAGUAUUUACACACAGUGGAGCACUACUCCAUCAUAAAGAGAGAUAAACUUGUGUCAUUUGCAGGAAAACACACACCUUAAGAACAUAAUGUUAAGAAAAAUAAAUUUAACACACAAGCUUAAAUAUCACAUGGUUUCUCUUAUUUGAAAAAAAGUAUAAAUAAAGAGCAAAAUAGAAGAUACUAAUAGGAUGUAGACACGUGGAUCCUUCUCAAAGGAGAAUGGGAUUCAGACAUGGAGAGGGAGCAGGGAGGGAAAGAGGAUGAAAAAAGGAACUGAGAUGUGUUAUGUACCUGUACCAACUCCACACAAGGAAUGUAUGUACUGCAAAUAUGCACUAAUAAAAAUACAUAAAACUGAUUUGGGGGUAUAUGAUUACUUCUGAUUAUUUAGCUUGUCUUUCAAAGGACUGUGUCAAAGACACGGUUUGAUCUGUUUUAUGUUUAAAACACUGUUUCUCUGCUUCAAAAAUAUCCUCUGCAAUUAUUACUGAGGAACACAAUGUGAAUUAUUAAAUCUAUCUUGAUACAAAUACCAAAAAUAACAUACAUACACAGGAAAAUGGAAAAUUCUUUAGCUCCACUCCCACAUUCCUUCACCAGAUCACCCACGCCCACAGUGAAGCAGGGCCAAAUACUCCUCAGAGUUUAAUCAAAUUUCCUUCUGUCCACUUCUGACUCCUAGUGAGGUCGAAGGACAUCCGGGUUCUCCCACUCCGGUCGGGACCCUGUUGUUUCCCCACGAACCACAUCACUCACUGAAUCUCAUUAGUUGGGAAAGAAGCAUUGUGUUUUAUAACAGUAACGCAUGGUAUCUGUGCGUCCUGUCUGGAAACACUGGCCACCCUGCUCCCAAUCCCCCUCUUUCCCGCUGUCUCUCCUCCCUCCCAGAUCAACUGGGCCUCUUCCAAGCCUGUGCAAAAGAAAAUAAAACGCCUGGGCCCCUUGCCCAAGUGUUUCCAGCCAGCACUGCACUGCCAAGGCCAAGUCUGCACCCGAGGGUCUGGGUUGGGAGCAAAUGCAAAUGUGAGCCUCUUGAGAAAGUGCUUUCCGGCCAGGCUCUCCAAACGCACUAAUCUUCUAUUGACAAAAGUCUUUCCCAGGCACAGAAGUCUGUCUCUGCUGAGAGGCCAGGGGGGCCCGGCCUUAUCUUUUACUUUCUUCUGCUGUUAGCGCGGUGACAACUUGUUUUCGUCUUCAUUUCCCGCCGUCUCCCGGUAUUUUUAGGCUUGAGCCACGUCGGAGCGCCCCGGUCCUUCGGGCUCCCAGCGCGGGGUCUGAGGCCCGGGUGGCCGCGCGCCCACCGGAUCCGCGACCCAGAGACGCCCGGAAGCCGGGCCUCGCCCUGCGCUCCGCGGACUCUGCUUUGCCUCGGAAGCCGCCCCACUGCCUUCUUCCCGCCGCUUCUCCUCCUCUGUCCCCGCGGACAGCACCAACCCUGGACCCCGCCAGCGUCGCGGGCAGAGCGGCUCACCCGGUGCGGCGCCUCGGACUGGCUGGCUGAUCCCAGGUAAUCGUGGAUGGUAACUUCU